rnacentral:rRNA from 1 species
CCUACGGGAGGCAGCAGUGGGGGAUAUUGCACAAUGGGGGAAACCCUGAUGCAGCGACGCCGCGUGUGGGAAGACGGUCCUCUGGAUUGUAAACCACUGUCCCCAGGGACGAAGAUGACGGUACCUGGGGAGGAAGCUCCGGCUAACUACGUGCCAGCAGCCGCGGGAAUACGUAGGGAGCGAGCGUUGUCCGGAGUUACUGGGUGUAAAGGGAGCGUAGGCGGGGAUGCAAGUUGGGUGUCAAAACUACCGGCUCAACUGGUAGUCGCACUCAAAACUGCAGCUCUUGAGUGAAGUAGAGGCAGGCGGAAUUCCUAGUGUAGCGGUGAAAUGCGUAGAUAUUAGGAGGAACACCAGUGGCGAAGGCGGCCUGCUGGACAUUAACUGACGCUGAGGCGCGAAAGCGUGGGGAGCAAACAGGAUUAGAUACCCUGGUAGUC